rnacentral:rRNA from 1 species
GACGAACGCUGGCGGCGUGCCUAAUACAUGCAAGUCGAACGAGAGCGACCGGUGCUUGCACUGGUCAAUCUAGUGGCGAACGGGUGAGUAACACGUGGGUAACCUGCCCAUCAGAGGGGGAUAACAUUCGGAAACGGAUGCUAAAACCGCAUAGGUCCUUUAACCGCAUGGUUGAAGGAGGAAAAGAGGCGCAAGCUUCUGCUGAUGGAUGGACCCGCGGUGCAUUAGCUAGUUGGUGAGGUAACGGCUCACCAAGGCCGUGAUGCAUAGCCGACCUGAGAGGGUGAUCGGCCACAUUGGGACUGAGACACGGCCCAAACUCCUACGGGAGGCAGCAGUAGGGAAUCUUCCGCAAUGGACGCAAGUCUGACGGAGCAACGCCGCGUGAGUGAAGAAGGUUUUCGGAUCGUAAAACUCUGUUGUUAGAGAAGAACAAGUGCUAGAGUAACUGUUAGCGCCUUGACGGUAUCUAACCAGAAAGCCACGGCUAACUACGUGCCAGCAGCCGCGGUAAUACGUAGGUGGCAAGCGUUGUCCGGAUUUAUUGGGCGUAAAGCGAGCGCAGGCGGUUUCUUAAGUCUGAUGUGAAAGCCCCCGGCUCAACCGGGGAGGGUCAUUGGAAACUGGGGAACUUGAGUGCAGAAGAGGAGAGUGGAAUUCCAUGUGUAGCGGUGAAAUGCGUAGAUAUAUGGAGGAACACCAGUGGCGAAGGCGACUCUCUGGUCUGUAACUGACGCUGAGGCUCGAAAGCGUGGGUAGCAAACAGG